UAAACACUGUCAGGUAUUUCGCCGUAGGCUAUCGUUUGGUGUACAGACUGCACAAGUCAGGUUACACCCUCUCUAUACAAACGUGGUACAAUUUACUACGGGCAAUCAAGCAAGCCUAGCCAUGGCGUGGAAGGGACUCUGGCUGUGUAUUUUUAUCGCGACAGUUGGCUACUCCGUAGCAGCACCUGUAGCCGUCGUGCAAUUGAGCACCGUUCCAGUCUUCCAGACAGUGCUUGUAGAAAUCCCCAGGUUCGUUGGCGAUAGUACUCGAUGCAAACCAGGACAAAAGGCAACUC